CGUACUUUUUGUAGAACGGUCCGGCGAGUUAUGAUACGCGGUAAGGUUAAGGACUUAAGGUCCGGAGCCGAAGCGAAAGCGAGUGUUAAGAGCACGAGGAAUCACGUAUCAUAGACCCGAAACCGGGUGAUCUAUCCAUGUCCAGGAUGAAGCUGCCGUAAGAGGUAGUGGAGGUCCGAACACACAUCCGUUGAAAAGGGUGGUGAUGAGGUGUGGAUAGGGGAGAAAUUCCAAUCGAACCCGGAGAUAGCUGGUUCUCCUCGAAAUAGCUUUAGGGCUAGCCUUCAGUUAGUCUGCCGCAGGUAGAGCACUGAAUUUCCUAGGGGGCGUCAAAGCCUACCGAAGAAUAUCAAACUGCGAAUGGCGGACAGAUGAUGCUGGGGAGUCAGACUGCACGAGAUAAGUUGGGUGGUCAAAAGGGAAAGAGCCCAGACCUACAGCUAAGGUCCCAAAGUGCGUGUUAAGUGGAAAAGGAUGUGGGAUUUCGAAGACAACUAGGAUGUUGGCUCAGAAGCAGCCACACAUUAAAAGAGUGCGUAAUAGCUCACUAGUCGAGAGGUCCUGCGCCGAAAAUGUCCGGGGCUGAAACACGACACCGAAGCUUAGGAACAGAAAUGUUGGUAGAGGAGCAUUGUUAGCGGAACGAAGCCAUACCGGAAGGAGUGGUGGACUGCUAAGAAGAGAGAAUGCCGGAAUGAGUAGCGAGAUUGAAGUGAGAAUCUUCAAGGCCGAAUAUCUAAGGUUUCCAGGGUAAAGCUGAUCUGCCCUGGGUAAGUCGGGGCCUAAGGCGAGGUCGGAAGACGUAGCCGAUGGACAACAGGUUGAAAUUCCUGUACUGCGAUAUAUCAGAAAUGUGGGGACACAGAAGGAAAGUGUGAGCCGGGAAAGGAAAGACCGGUGCAAGCACAGGAGGAGAGAUACAGGCAAAUCCGUAUUUCAAUCCAAUGGUGUUACGCGGAGCGAACAAAAGUAGCGAAGCACACAGACCAUCUGUCGAGAAAAGCCGCUAUUGUGUAUACCGUACCCGUACCGUAAACCGACACAGGUGGAUGAGGAGAGAAUCCUAAGGCCGGCGGGAGAAGCAUUGUUAAGGAACUCGGCAAAAUGACCCCGUAACUUCGGGAGAAGGGGUGCUCACGCAAGUGAGCCGCAGAGAACUGGCCCAAGCAACUGUUUAGCAAAAACACAGGUCUAUGCAAAACCGAAAGGUGAGGUAUAUGGGCUGACGCCUGCCCGGUGCUGGAAGGUUAAGAGGAGAUGUUAGAGCAAUCGAAGCAUUGAAUUUAAGCCCCAGUAAACGGCGGCCGUAACUAUAACGGUCCUAAGGUAGCGAAAUUCCUUGUCGGGUAAGUUCCGACCCGCACGAAAGGCGUAAUGAUUUGGGCACUGUCUCGACGAUGCACCCGGUGAAAUUGAAAUACCAGUGAAGAUGCUGGUUACCUUGCGCCAGGACGGUAAGACCCCAUG
rnacentral:rRNA from 1 species